rnacentral:lncRNA from 1 species
UGGGUUUCUGGUGGCGGCAGUGGUUGUUGUUGUUGUUGUUUUGAGUUGUGCGUACUACGUUUGAAGAGAAAGCUAGGACUGGUUGGAGCCUUAAUAAGAAAUAAAAAAAUUGGAGGUGAAAGGGCUCACUGAUAAAAGAGCUGCUUUCAUUUACUGCUCCAGGCAUCUGCUGUAAAGGAGCCAAAGCGAAUGUGUAAGCAUCAGAGACAGUCGCAGGAGGGAGGAGGCAACAGUCAGAGCUAAGAUACCAAGUGUAAUAAGGAAGCUCACACACAUCACACUGGCUUUCAGCACAUGGAGAACUUCUUCUCGUGAUCCCUGAUGUUGAGGUCACACAUGAGGAGUUUUUUCAAACAGCAAGUUAAGGCAAUGGAAAGAA